UAUUCCAACCUCUGUGAACCGUGCCCUUCGGGGCUAUUUUACAAACAUGGUGUAAUGAACGUCAUAUAUCAUAACAAAACAAAACUUUCAACAACGGAUCUCUUGGCUCUCGCAUCGAUGAAGAACGCAGCGAAAUGCGAUAAGUAAUGUGAAUUGCAGAAUUCAGUGAAUCAUCGAAUCUUUGAACGCACCUUGCGCCCUCUGGUAUUCCGGAGGGCAUGCCUGUUUGAGUGUCAUGUAGACUCAAUCCCUCGGGUUUCCGAGGAGAUUGGACUUGGGUGUUGCCGCUCUGCCGGCUCGCCUUAAAAGACUUAGCGGGAUAGCACCGUAGUCGGCGUAAUAAGUUUCGUCGGUGAAGGUUGUGAUGACUGCUUACAAUCGCCCUCGGGCAAUUUUUGACUCUGACCUCAAAUCAGGUAGGACUACCCGCUGAACUUAAGCAUAUCAAA
rnacentral:rRNA from 1 species